rnacentral:lncRNA from 1 species
AAGCAUCACGUGGGGCCGCUGCCGGGAGGGAAGCAGCUGCAGUGAAUAAGGUGAGGAGAGACGCCAUCGGAGGAGCCACGCCUCACCCUCGCGUCUCCCUCUUCUCCUCUCACUCGUUUGUCAGCGCCAUUCGGUGGGAGUCGGACAACGCCGUGGGCUGCGCGCGUGAGGUGUUCGUUGGAAUCGCGGAAGUUGGUGACGCGGCGGACGACGUGGGCGUCGUCUCCUCGCACUUCGCGGCGGCCUUGCGCCUAGAUGUCCGCGGGCGAGUUGGAGUCCGGGCGGGGCAGAUCGUGGGCGCGGCUGGGAAGUUGAGGUGCGCCGACCGGCCCUUGAUGAGCGCCGCAUGCUCCACGGUGGUGAAAGGGGCGACCCCGGCAUCUGGUAGCGCGGCCUUGCCGCCUGCUCCGCGGUUGGAAAAUCUUGCUCAGCACCAUCAUCCGCCGUAUUUCUGUUAUUAACUAAAUAUUGUUGUAAUCUAUCACUAGUACUAUGAUCAUGAAAAAGAUUUAGCUGUCUACAAACACUUUGUGUAAAGGUUGGAGGCGGCACAAGAAACAGAUCCUUAGUUGUGUUAUAUGAGGUGCCAUUAAAUGAGUUGCACUACGA